rnacentral:rRNA from 1 species
CCUGGUUGAUCCUGCCGGACCUGACUGCUAUCGGAUUGGUACUAAGCCAUGCGAGUCGUUGUAGCAAUACAAGGCGGACUGCUCAGUAACACGUAGUUAACUUAACCUAUGGAUGGGAAUAACCUCGGGAAACUGAGAAUAAUACCCAAUGGGCCACAGUGCCUGGAAUGGCCUGUGGUUGAAAUGAUUUAUCGCCGUAGGAUAGGACUGCGGCCUAUCAGCUUGUUGGUGAGGUAAUGGCCCACCAAGGCUAUAACAGGUACGGGCUCUGAGAGGAGGGGCCCGGAGAUGGGUACUGAGACACGGACCCAGGCCCUAUGGGGCGCAGCAGGCGAGAAACCUUUGCAAUGUGCGAAAGCACGACAAGGUUAAUCCGAGUGUCUCCUGCUAAAGGAGUCUUUUGUCAGUUGUAGAAUCACUGGUGAAUAAGGGGUGGGCAAGUUCUGGUGUCAGCCGCCGCGGUAAAACCAGCACCUCGAGUGGUCAGGAGGUUUAUUGGGCCUAAAGCAUCCGUAGCCGGUUGCAUAAGUUUUCGGUUAAAUCUAUGCGCUUAACGUAUAGGCCGCCGAAAAUACUGUGCAGCUAGGGAGUGGGAGAGGUACACGGUACCUCGAUAGGAACGCGUAAAUCUUUGAUCUAUUGAAGACA